rnacentral:rRNA from 1 species
AGAGUUUGAUCAUGGCUCAGAUUGAACGCUGGCGGCAGGCUUAACACAUGCAAGUCGAGCGGAGAGAGGUAGCUUGCUACUGAUCUUAGCGGCGGACGGGUGAGUAAUGCUUAGGAAUCUGCCUAUUAGUGGGGGACAACAUUUCGAAAGGAAUGCUAAUACCGCAUACGUCCUACGGGAGAAAGCAGGGGAUCUUCGGACCUUGCGCUAAUAGAUGAGCCUAAGUCGGAUUAGCUAGUUGGUGGGGUAAAGGCCUACCAAGGCGACGAUCUGUAGCGGGUCUGAGAGGAUGAUCCGCCACACUGGGACUGAGACACGGCCCAGACUCCUACGGGAGGCAGCAGUGGGGAAUAUUGGACAAUGGGCGCAAGCCUGAUCCAGCCAUGCCGCGUGUGUGAAGAAGGCCUUAUGGUUGUAAAGCACUUUAAGCGAGGAGGAGGCUACUUUAGUUAAUACCUAGAGAUAGUGGACGUUACUCGCAGAAUAAGCACCGGCUAACUCUGUGCCAGCAGCCGCGGUAAUACAGAGGGUGCAAGCGUUAAUCGGAUUUACUGGGCGUAAAGCGCGCGUAGGCGGCUAAUUAAGUCAAAUGUGAAAUCCCCGAGCUUAACUUGGGAAUUGCAUUCGAUACUGGUUAGCUAGAGUGUGGGAGAGGAUGGUAGAAUUCCAGGUGUAGCGGUGAAAUGCGUAGAGAUCUGGAGGAAUACCGAUGGCGAAGGCAGCCAUCUGGCCUAACACUGACGCUGAGGUGCGAAAGCAUGGGGAGCAAACAGGAUUAGAUACCCCGGUAGUCC